UACGAAGGGGGCUAGCGUUGCUCGGAAUUACUGGGCGUAAAGGGAGCGUAGGCGGACAGUUUAGUCAGAGGUGAAAGCCCAGGGCUCAACCCUGGAAUUGCCUUUGAUACUGGCUGUCUUGAGUACGGGAGAGGUGUGUGGAACUCCGAGUGUAGAGGUGAAAUUCGUAGAUAUUCGGAAGAACACCAGUGGCGAAGGCGACACACUGGCCCGUUACUGACGCUGAGGCUCGAAAGCGUGGGGAGCAAACAGG
rnacentral:rRNA from 1 species